GGGCCUAUAGUUUAGCGGUUAUAACGUCUCGCUUACACCGAGAAGGUCACCGGUUCGAAUCCGGUUGGGCCCA
rnacentral:tRNA from 1 species